rnacentral:misc_RNA from 1 species
AACGCACAUUGCGCCUCCUGGUAUUCUGGGGGGCAUGCCUGUUCGAGAGUCAUUUACAACAAUUUCGAAUCCCCCCACCUUCAGUUUGUGUGUGGGGGUGAAUCGGUUUUGGUUGAGGAGAGAGACUAACUACUCUCCCUCCCCACCAAAAUUCAUAGGCAGUCUGUGUUUUUGUAAACCUUGGAUAUGUUUAUGGCGUUGUAAACGGGAGGUUUCUCCUUCAUUGGGAAGGUGGGCCACUUUUCGCCUGUAGCAAAUUUGAGAAAUACUUGGACUAGCCUUCAAGAAUAUAAAAAAAAAUCCCCAUGGUUUUUUUAUAUAUAUUUCAAAGGUUGACCUCGGAUCAGGUAGGGAUACCCGCUGAACUUAA